UGGGGAAUAUUGGACAAUGGGCGCAAGCCUGAUCCAGCCAUGCCGCGUGUGUGAAGAAGGCCUUUUGGUUGUAAAGCACUUUAAGCGAGGAGGAGGCUACUUGGAUUAAUACUCUAAGAUAGUGGACGUUACUCGCAGAAUAAGCACCGGCUAACUCUGUGCCAGCAGCCGCGGUAAUACAGAGGGUGCGAGCGUUAAUCGGAUUUACUGGGCGUAAAGCGUGCGUAGGCGGCUUCUUAAGUCGGAUGUGAAAUCCCUGAGCUUAACUUAGGAAUUGCAUUCGAUACUGGGAAGCUAGAGUAUGGGAGAGGAUGGUAGAAUUCCAGGUGUAGCGGUGAAAUGCGUAGAGAUCUGGAGGAAUACCGAUGGCGAAGGCAGCCAUCUGGCCUAAUACUGACGCUGAGGUACGAAAGCAUGGGGAGCAAACAGG
rnacentral:rRNA from 7 species